CGCCCCUUCGGGGGAGUGGCGGACGGGUGAGUAACGCGUGGGAAUGUGCCCUUUGGUACGGAACAACUGAGGGAAACUUCAGCUAAUACCGUAUGUGCCCUACGGGGGAAAGAUUUAUCGCCAUUGGAGCAGCCCGCGUUGGAUUAGGUAGUUGGUGGGGUAAAGGCCUACCAAGCCUACGAUCCAUAGCUGGUCUGAGAGGAUGAUCAGCCACACUGGGACUGAGACACGGCCCAGACUCCUACGGGAGGCAGCAGUGGGGAAUCUUGCGCAAUGGGCGAAAGCCUGACACAGCCAUGCCGCGUGUAUGAUGAAGGUCUUAGGAUUGUAAAAUACUUUCACCGGGGAAGAUAAUGACGGUACCCGGAGAAGAAGCCCCGGCUAACUUCGUGCCAGCAGCCGCGGUAAUACGAAGGGGGCUAGCGUUGCUCGGAAUUACUGGGCGUAAAGGGCGCGUAGGCGGACAGUUUAGUCAGAGGUGAAAGCCCAGGGCUCAACCUUGGAAUUGCCUUUGAUACUGGCUGUCUUGAGUUCGGGAGAGGUGAGUGGAAUGCCGAGUGUAGAGGUGAAAUU
rnacentral:rRNA from 1 species